GGGGCUGAUUCUGGAUUCGACGGGAUUUGCGAAACCCAAGGUGCAUGCCGAGGGGCGGUUGGCCUCGUAAAAAGCCGCAAAAAAAUAGUCGCAAACGACGAAACCUACGCUUUAGCAGCUUAAUAACCUGCUUAGAGCCCUCUCUCCCUAGCCUCCGCUCUUAGGACGGGGAUCAAGAGAGGUCAAACCCAAAAGAGAUCGCGCGGAUGCCCUGCCUGGGGUUGAAGCGUUAAAACGAAUCAGGCUAGUCUGGUAGUGGCGUGUCCG
rnacentral:tmRNA from 2 species